AACAGGAUUAGAUACCCUGGUAGUCCACGCCGUAAACGAUGUCGACUUGGAGGUUGUGCCCUUGAGGCGUGGCUUCCGGAGCUAACGCGUUAAGUCGACCGCCUGGGGAGUACGGCCGCAAGGUUAAAACUCAAAUGAAUUGACGGGGGCCCGCACAAGCGGUGGAGCAUGUGGUUUAAUUCGAUGCAACGCGAAGAACCUUACCUACUCUUGACAUCCAGAGAACUUAGCAGAGAUGCUUUGGUGCCUUCGGGAACUCUGAGACAGGUGCUGCAUGGCUGUCGUCAGCUCGUGUUGUGAAAUGUUGGGUUAAGUCCCGCAACGAGCGCAACCCUUAUCCUUUGUUGCCAGCGGUUAGGCCGGGAACUCAAAGGAGACUGCCAGUGAUAAACUGGAGGAAGGUGGGGAUGACGUCAAGUCAUCGUGGCCCUUACGAGUAGGGCUACACACGUGCUACAAUGGCGCAUACAAAGAGAAGCGACCUCGCGAGAGCAAGCGGACCUCAUAAAGUGCGUCGUAGUCCGGAUUGGAGUCUGCAACUCGACUCCAUGAAGUCGGAAUCGCUAGUAAUCGUGGAUCAGAAUGCCACGGUGAAUACGUUCCCGGGCCUUGUACACACCGCCCGUCACACCAUGGGAGUGGGUUGCAAAAGAAGUAGGUAGCUUAACCUUCGGGAGGGCGCUCACCACUUUGUGAUUCAUGACUGGGGUGAAGUCGUAACAAGGUAACC
rnacentral:rRNA from 1 species